rnacentral:ncRNA from 2 species
UUCUUGAAGCGGGGGUGCCCGGCAAAACGCCGGGCUGAGAGAGUCCCUUGGAACCUGAUCCGGUCAAUACCGGCGUAGGGAGCUUGCAGAGUCGGAUC